UCAAUUCAGUUCCACGCAGCUCCUCAAGUACUAAUUUAAUAAGCGUUUGUUGCCUACUAUGUAAUAGGCGCUGUGCUAAAUGUUAGAAAAACAGAGAUGAAAAAUAGAUGAACUCUCCUCAAGGAUCUUGCGAGGGAGAAGGAAGCUCAUAGGCGCUGCAUUAAAUACAUGCGGAACAUGACAUUCCAAGACAGAAGGGUAAACAGAAGUCUCGGAGCAGGAGAGGACUGCGAGCAGCUGAGGCUGGGGAGCGCUGGGAAGCCUUCGUUGGCACAGGACCUCUUGAGCUGCACCUUGAGAAAUGCAGAGGUUACCUGGACUCACUAUCCUAAGUAUCUAUAACUAGAUUAAAACACUUCUGCAUCACUCUGAAAAAGAGCUCUCUUCUGGAAAACAAUGAUGUUUUAAUGAGCAGCAGUAUGUCAAGAUCAGGACAACGAGGUGAUCUUUCAUUUCUUGGUUCAAUUCUGCCCAAGCAAACUGCAUGGAAUGGGAGGCCAGGCUGUCCUACAGACUCUUGGAGCUGGUAUACCAUCAUACGUUUAUCUUAGAGGGAUCUGAAGGGAGUGACAGACCUAGGCAAGAAAGCAGAGUCAACAUCUUGUGACGCCACUAAAAGAUGAAGCCAAAUGAACCCUCAUUUAUUUUCUGACUUUUCUUUUCCCAAAGAUUGCUUGGCCUAAAAAUUAUAAAUUACAUUAAUAUUCUUGAACCAAUACUGACCGGUAUGUGGGACUUGCAUUUAUUUUCUUAUGACCUGAAGAAGCUGAACACUCUGUGUAUUAAGUACAAAGUACUGCAAAAUAAGGGAGACAUACCAAACAAUAUAUGGCUAAUGAAGAUUAUCCAUUGCA